GUGUCAGCAGCCGCGGUAAUACAGAGGGUGCGAGCGUUAAUCGGAUUUACUGGGCGUAAAGCGUGUGUAGGUGGCUUCCUAAGUCGGUUGUGAAAUCCCUGGGCUCAACCUGGGAAUUGCAGUCGAUACUGGGAAGCUCGAGUUCGGUAGAGGACGGCGGAAUUCCCGGUGUAGCGGUGAAAUGCGUAGAUAUCGGGAGGAACAUCGAUGGCGAAAGCAACCGUCUGGGCCUGAACUGACACUGAGACACGAAAGCGUGGGGAGCAAACAGGAUUAGAAACCCGCGUAGUCC
rnacentral:rRNA from 1 species